rnacentral:rRNA from 1 species
GAUGAACGCUGACAGAAUGCUUAACACAUGCAAGUCAACUGUGGCGGACGGGCGAGUAACGCGUAAAGAACUUGCCUCCCAGCUAGGGACAACAUUUGGAAACGAAUGCUAAUACCUGAUACUGUGAGAGAGCUUUGCGUACCAUUAGCUAGUUGGAGAGGUCACGGCUCACCAAGGCGAUGAUGGGUAGCCGGCAUGAGAGGGUGAUCGGCCACAAGGGGACUGGGACACGGCCCUUACUCAUACGGGAGGAAGCAGUGGGGAAUAGUGGACAAUAGACCAAAGUCUGAGCAAGCAAUUCUGUGUGCACGAUGAAGUUUUCGGAAUGAAAAGUGCUUUAAGUUGGGAAGCGGUACCAACAGAAGAAGCCACGGCUAAAUACGUGCCAGCAGCCGCGGUAAUAC